GUAGCUGCGAGCGAAGAGGGAUUAGCCCGAGACCGAAUCCCCUCCGCCCUCGGGUGGUUGGGACCUGUAGUCUAAGGGGUAUCUUCACAAGGCCGGGUUCCACAGUUGGGGGAUGAUAUCCCCUUGCACAGAGCGUUACACACGACCUGGUGGUUCUUGGCUGCGAGGGGGUGCCCCGCGAGUAGGCUAGCUUGAAAGUGCUGGCUGAAUAUAGGUGGUGCUGGCCAUCUAAGGCUAAAUAUGAAAGCAUGGUAACCGAUAGCGAACAAGUACCGUAAGGGAAAGCUGAAAAGCACCUCGUUUGAGGAGCUAAAAGAGCAUGAAAUCCGUCCAGUCUGAACGGGACAUCUCGGUUCGUAGAAAAGCGUCGAUGGGGUAGCUCCCCGUCACACGGCGCCCAGUACUACACGGCUGCGGCUGAGGCAUUCGGGGAGGAUUGCGUCGUGGUGACUUGGCCCUCAGGGGUCGGGGCUCCUGGCGUGCUGAUACCCUGGGGCUUCUCCGUCUAGGCUUGCACACUGCGGGAGGGUUCGCCCAAGCGUAGUGA
rnacentral:rRNA from 1 species